UUUGCUUCAUGGUACACUAUGCUAACAGAAGCUACAGUACAGGGAACAAGUUGGACUAUAUUCUAACUGCUCAACAAGGAAUUGGUGAGCGUUAAAAUGUGUGCAGCAAUUAUGUGGCUCUGCUAGCAUACAUGCUAAUAUGACCACAAGUGAGUGAGUGAUGAUUGCUGACAUCCUGUGGUGAGAAGACGCUUUAAGUUGUUGAACAUCGAAACUAUACGUUUACUCCUGGAGGAGGUUUUAUCUCAGAGAAGAAAAAGCUGAAGAGGAGUCGUGAACCUGAUAAUCACCCGCACGGAUCAACAAGCAUUUCUACACAGAGAGUUGUUGGAGAGAGAUCCGAGAGGCAGCCAGGAGGACGAUGUGCCAGCAGGCUUUUCACCCCACCUUCAAAUGUGCAGAUUGCAGAAGUGGACAACAAGUCACAUUAUAUUAAAAGCCUUUGAUACAGUCGACCAUGCUUCACUUUUACAAUGAUGAUCCUCUGUCUGUGAUUUGGUCAAGAACUAUUUAUCAGACCGACAGUCUGUGAAAGUCAGGAAAUUUGAAUUCUUGCAGGUUACUAAAGGCUGACUAUGUCAAAAGGUGUUUGUAACUGUCUGAAUGUCCACACUGGAAGGAGGUGUGAAAGCCUGCUGUGAUAGAGACUGUCUACAUUCUGGAAGACAUUCAUGGUGUUGCACUGACAGAGAAGUCCAAACCUUGUCUACUUUCACAUCUUCAUACACGACCAGUCUCCUGGCGUUAUUGUCGCAUUGUCUGUUUCUAAAAGUUACAAAAAUGUUCAAUUCCACCAUCAGAAGGGGGGGUUUCAGAUGUUUAAUGAUCCGACAAAUACUUCGUUCAAGCAGCAAGACACCAUAAGGGUGUGCCACAGGGAUGGAAAUGGGGCCCUCUUCUGUUUUAUUUUGUCUUUUCCAGGUGUACUUGUCAAAUUCAUCUUUAUGCAGAUGAUACUCUUGUUUAGCCUAAUAAUCAGGCUAGUUUGUAAUUUCAUUUUCCUACAUUCUUCAGUGUGGCAUUGGAUUCACAUAAGAUAUUUCCAACAGAGUUAAAUUGGGAACAGUUCCAUGACUUCCACUUGAGUUACAAGUUAAGAUGUUUUCCUUAAACACAUGAUGGAUGGCUUUCAGACAGUGUAGUCGCAGGUGAAUCUCUCUGUUUACUUCUAGUUCCGAGUCAUAAUUUGCAUAAACGAUGAUGUUGGAAAAGUAAAUCUUAGACUCGUUUGGUUUCUGCCCGUUAGCUUUCAUAUCACACAUGUUUAAAGGAGGUGAAGCUUGAGUUUGGACACUGUGUACAAGCCUGAAAUGGAUUAUUGGAUACUGCAGUCAGUCAGGACAACUGCCUCAUCGACUUGAUAUGUUGUUUUUG